rnacentral:lncRNA from 1 species
CUUUGGGAGGCUGAUGCUGGAGGACUGCUUGAGCUCAGGAGUUGGAGAGCAGCCUGAGCAACAUAGCAAGGCCUCAUCUCUACUAAAAAUAAUAAAUAAAUAAAUUCAAAUAAAUUUAGCCGAGCGUGGUGGUGCACACCUGUAGUUCCAGCUACUCAGGACACUGAGGUAGGAGAAUCGCUUGAACCCGGGAGAUGGAGGUUCUAGUGAGCGGAGGUCGCCUCCCAAAGUGCUGGGAUUACCUGUAAUCCUGGCUACUUUGGAGGCUGAGGCACGAGAAUCGCUUGAACCGGGAGGUGGAGGUUGCAGCGAGCCAAGAUUGUGCCCCUGCACUCCAGCCAGGGCAUCGGAGUGAAACUCUGUCUCUAUAAUAAUAAUAAUAAUAAUCGGCCGGGCGCGGGGACUCGCCUGUAAUCCCAGCACUUGGAGAAGCCGAGGCAGGCGGAUUACCUGGGAUCGGCAGUUUGAGACCUACCUGGCCAACGUGGUGAAACCCCAUCUCUACCAAAAAUACAAAAAUUAGCCGUUCGUGGUGGUGGCCGCCUGUAAUCCCAGGUACUCAGAAGGCUGAGGCAGGAGAACUCCAUCUCAAAAUAAAUAAAUAAAUAGAUAAAGGCAGAGCUAAUUUAUCUUUUGUAAUAGUACAUACCUAUGUAAAAUACUCUGUAGGAAGAGGUGUCCUUUUUGUGUCUUAGUUUACAUUCCAAAAGCUUUUCACAUUCAAAUGGAUGUGCUACACUAUUCAAAAGAUACACAUCUCAUUUGGUAAAUGCAUAGGGAAAGCAAACAGCAUCUUUAGGGCAUGCCAAAACCUCCCAGGUAUGUAUCAGCUCCAUCACUGACUGCUUUGACACUUUAUUUUGGCAAUUGGAACUUGUAUAUUUUCAUAAUAAACAAUUUAACUGUUUGUUUCUCAACCACUUAAAGCAAGGUGAAAUGGUCUCCUCCCAAAGCUCAAAAAUCUAAUCGGCAGAAACAAAUUCACAGAAUUGUCUUUUGUUCUGAAACAAAAGGAAGCAGGGCCAACUCUGCAAAUAGUGAGGAUCUACUAUAUAAACUAUUACAGUUGUGAUAUCCAGCGAAAAUUCUAGAAGAAUAUUGGAUAGGUUUCACAUUGCUAAACAGUUGGAAUCCUUUUAGUUCCUUAAUCAAAUCCACUUAGCAUCAGAUCCUUAGGAUAUUCAAGGGAAUUACCCAAAGGGAACAGAACAACAAAAGUAGGCUAUUUAAGGUGAUACUUAGUGACAGUAUCAAUUCCUCUAAACUCUUCAAAAAUGGAUUAUUGAUUUAAAACAUCAGAGAUGUAUUCUUUUCUGUUCUAGGAAUGUCCAGAAGAGAUGAGCAACCUACAACUGGAAUAGAUAAAAGUUGCUUUUGACAGCAGGUGAACUUGUUAAAAAAAAAAAGAUAAAAGUUGCAGUUUUAUGAAUUUUUUCAAAGGAUUUGUGUGUUAAGGUGUAUACUUUUCAG